CAUUUUGGGAACUCACUGGCUCUGGAUCCCAUAAGAACUCUGAAGUUAAGCGAGUUUGGAUGAGAGCAAUCCUAAGAUGGGUGACCCCCUGGGAAGUUCUCAUGUCGAAACCCAAAAACAAAACCGUGAGGGAAUGGUAAGCCCAAAGCGGACAAUAUCGUGCUACGGCGGAGUCGAGCUGGGAUGUGACAAUUUGGUAUCAUAGCCAUUAUACUGUUCGGUUUGGAUGUGCUGGGGAUGACACUGGGUUCCCCUUAAGUGGGGUGGAUUAUAAGAUCUCACAUCAACCAACGGAGAGGGGGUGAUGUGCCUUAUAUGUACAUGCUCCUCUCCCUAUAGCACGAGGCUUAUUGGGAAUUCAUUGGUUCUGGAUCCCAUAAAAACUUCUAAGUUAAAUGAGUUUGGGCGAGAGCAGUCCUAGGAUGGGUGACCCCCCUGGGAAGUUCUCGUGCCGAAAACCAAAAACAAAACCGUGAGGGAAUGGUAAGCCCAGAGCGGACAAUAUCAUGCUACAGCGGAGUCGAGUCUGGGAUGUGACAAACGAUAUAUCUUAUUGUGCUUCAAGGUUAGGAUUUUUUUUGUAUAUCCAAACUAGAUUAUAGUAGUGGAAUGUAGCUUUUUUAUUAAUUGUUUUUGUAGAUGUCGAACUUAAUAUC
rnacentral:sRNA from 1 species